rnacentral:tRNA from 1 species
GGGAACAUGGCUCAGAAGGUAGAGUGUCUGUCUGCAAUGCAGGAGACCCGAGUUUGAUCCCU